CAGCUUAUGAUCUCCUGAUUGGAACUAACAUGACGCUUGAUAAAAUGAAGUACAUAACAUAACAACUGCAUUGAUUUAGAAAUACGAGGACUUGUUUUGGAUUCCAAGUCUAACUGCAGAUCUGGGGACAGCACACACUUUACACCUUGGAUUCUGGGAUACAUUUGAUUUCAAAUAUUGAUGGUGAAAAUUCUAACAAGGAGCAAACAGCAAAGAACUGAAAUGCUAUACAGACUCCAGUGAGAAAAAACUGAGGUAAUUGGUUUCGGUGUGCUGGUGCUUGAAACUCUAUCCCAGUGCUUCCUUCAACUAAGGCUGCAAAUUGAAAAUGUGAAGAACCUUGCCUGCUUGAACCAGCCUGGGCUUGUGGCAGCAUCAUUCUGUCACUUAAUUCUUCUCACAGAGGUAAUGCCUAUUAAGUGACUUAGCAAGGGCGUGCAUGAUGUAGUCACGAGAUGGAUAUUGGUAACAGUGAUUCCUUGCUGGUACUUUCUAUUAAGUCUAGGUUUCUUGUCACUCAUUGAUCGACCGCACAAAAUCUCACCUGCUAAAUAAUUUGCCCAGGCUUCCACAUCAUUGUACCUGUAUUGAUGAUCCCCAGUGCACAAGAUUACCACGUGAAUGGCAAUGAAAUUUGUGGCGCUGAUACUCAGGGUCUCCACCAGCGAUGUAUAUCACUAUUAAUUUCACUUUGUAUUUCAGAAAGCCGAACCUUUUAAAAUGGAGCUUAUUGCACCAAAAAUAGUUGGAAAUAGAGUAAAACCAAAGAGAAAACCUUAACAACUAUAUAUUUUUAUUUGUUUUAGC
rnacentral:lncRNA from 1 species